GCGCCUGUAGCUCAGUUGGAUAGAGCAUCUGCCUUCUAAGCCGAGGGUCGCAGGUUCGAAUCCUGCCAGGCGCGCCA
rnacentral:tRNA from 3 species